AAGAAAGUGGCAGAGUGGUUAUGCGACUGGCUUGAAACCGGUGCACAGAGGUUCAAUUCCUUUCUUUCUCG
rnacentral:tRNA from 1 species